UAAAUGAUCCUUAACAUGAUCGUAGUUGGAUUUCGGAAGGUCCUUAGUAAUCCGCCCCUUCGGGGAGCGGGUUGAGGCCUCCUAUGUUCCUAACGGUCCUCAUCCGCGAGGGUGGGGAAUCAACCGCUAGGAUCGUUUACUUUGAGGAAAUUAGAGUGUUCAAAGCAGGCGUAACUCGCCUCCGAAUACGUUAGCAUGGGAUAAUGGAAUACGACUUCGGUCUUGUUUCGUUGGUUUCGCUUGGCUGAAGUAAUGAUUGAUAGGGACAGUUGGGGGCAUUAGUAUUUAGUUGUCAGAGGUGAAAUUCUAGGAUUUACUAAAGACUGACCAAUGCGAAAGCAUUUGCCAAGGAUGUUUUCAUUAAUCAAGAACGAAAGUAGGGGGAUCGAAGACGAUCAGAUACCGUCGUAGUCUCUACCGUAAACUAUGCCGACCAGGGAUCCGGAGAGUUUGCAUGGAUGACUCCCCGGGCACCUUGUGAGAAAUCAUAAGUGUUUGGGUUUUGGGGGGAGUAUGGUCGCAAGGCUGAAACUUAAAGGAAUUGACGGAAGGGCACCACCAGGAGUGGAACCUGCGGCUU
rnacentral:rRNA from 1 species